rnacentral:rRNA from 1 species
AUUGAACGCUGGCGGCAGGCUUAACACAUGCAAGUCGAGCGGGGAAGGGUAGCUUGCUACCUGACCUAGCGGCGGACGGGUGAGUAAUGCUUAGGAAUCUGCCUAUUAGUGGGGGACAACAUUCCGAAAGGAAUGCUAAUACCGCAUACGCCCUACGGGGGAAAGCAGGGGAUCUUCGGACCUUGCGCUAAUAGAUGAGCCUAAGUCAGAUUAGCUAGUUGGUGGGGUAAAGGCCUACCAAGGCGACGAUCUGUAGCGGGUCUGAGAGGAUGAUCCGCCACACUGGGACUGGGACACGGCCCAGACUCCUACGGGAGGCAGCAGUGGGGAAUAUUGGACAAUGGGCGCAAGCCUGAUCCAGCCAUGCCGCGUGUGUGAAGAAGGCCUUUUGGUUGUAAAGCACUUUAAGCGAGGAGGAGGCUACUUGGAUUAAUACUCUAGGAUAGUGGACGUUACUCGCAGAAUAAGCACCGGCUAACUCUGUGCCAGCCGCCGCGGUAACAC